rnacentral:lncRNA from 1 species
CUGCACUCUCACUUCAGUGUCCCUGCACUGUGGACUCGAGUCUCAUCCAUCCAUAAGGAAAGCGAUCUGUGCACUGAUCGGAUCGAUCACCAUCCUCGUGAUGAUCCAUUGAUCAGGAGCAUUCAGAAAUUAAUCACCAAUGAUACAUGGCUCAAAUUCUCAACUCUUGAGAAUAUGUAUCAAUAUCUUAUUAAUUCCUUGGACGAUUCAUAGACACAUAAACAAUAUGAAUGAAAAGAUUGCCCAUUUAUUAUUCAAAAAUAAUAAAGUCAAGUACAAA